rnacentral:rRNA from 1 species
GAUGAACGCUGGCGGCGUGCCUAAUACAUGCAAGUCGAGCGAACGGACGAGAAGCUUGCUUUUCUGAUGUUAGCGGCGGACGGGUGAGUAACACGUGGAUAACCUACCUAUAAGACUGGGAUAACUUCGGGAAACCGGAGCUAAUACCGGAUAAUAUUUUGAACCGCAUGGUUCAAAAGUGAAAGACGGUCUUGCUGUCACUUAUAGAUGGAUCCGCGCUGCAUUAGCUAGUUGGUAAGGUAACGGCUUACCAAGGCAACGAUGCAUAGCCGACCUGAGAGGGUGAUCGGCCACACUGGAACUGAGACACGGUCCAGACUACUACGGGAGGCAGCAGUAGGGAAUCUUCCGCAAUGGGCGAAAGCCUGACGGAGCAACGCCGAGUGAGUGAUGAAGGUCUUCGGAUCGUAAAACUCUGUUAUUAGGGAAGAACAUAUGUGUAAGUAACUGUGCACAUAUUGACGGUACCUAAUCAGAAAGCCACGGCUAACUACGUG